UGGGGAAUAUUGCACAAUGGGCGCAAGCCUGAUGCAGCGACGCCGCGUGAGGGAUGGAGGCCUUCGGGUUGUAAACCUCUUUCGCCAGUGAAGCAGGCCAUCUUCUUUGUGGGGUGGUUGACGGUAGCUGGAUAAGAAGCGCCGGCUAACUACGUGCCAGCAGCCGCGGUAAUACGUAGGGCGCGAGCGUUGUCCGGAAUUAUUGGGCGGAAAGAGCUCGUAGGCGGCUGGUCGCGUCUGUCGUGAAAUCCCCUGGCUUAACUGGGGGCGUGCGGUGGGUACGGGCCGGCUUGAGUGCGGUAGGGGAGACUGGAAUUCCUGGUGUAGCGGUGGAAUGCGCAGAUAUCAGGAGGAACACCGGUGGCGAAGGCGGGUCUCUGGGCCGUUACUGACGCUGAGGAGCGAAAGCGUGGGGAGCGAACAGG
rnacentral:rRNA from 1 species